rnacentral:rRNA from 1 species
GUAGUCAUAUGCUUGUCUCAAAGAUUAAGCCAUGCAUGUCUAAGUAUAAGCAAUUAUACCGCGAAACUGCGAAUGGCUCAUUAAAUCAGUUAUCGUUUAUUUGAUAGUACCUUACUACUUGGAUAACCGUGGUAAUUCUAGAGCUAAUACAUGCUGAAAACCCCAACUUCGGGAGGGGUGUAUUUAUUAGAUAAAAAACCAAUGCCCUUCGGGGCUCUUUGGUGAUUCAUGAUAACUUCUCAGAUCGCAUGGCCUUGCGCCGGCGACGGUUCAUUCAAAUUUCUGCCCUAUCAACUUUCGAUGGUAAGGUAUUGGCUUACCAUGGUUUCAACGGGUAACGGGGAAU